UACGAAGGGGGCUAGCGUUGCUCGGAAUCACUGGGCGUAAAGGGUGCGUAGGCGGGUCUUUAAGUCAGGGGUGAAAUCCUGGAGCUCAACUCCAGAACUGCCUUCGAUACUGGGAAGCUUGAGUUCGGGAGAGGUGAGUGGAACUGCGAGUGUAGAGGUGAAAUUCGUAGAUAUUCGCAAGAACACCAGUGGCGAAGGCGGCUCACUGGCCCGAUACUGACGCUGAGGUGCGAAAGCGUGGGGAGCAAACAGG
rnacentral:rRNA from 1 species